AAGAUCGUCUCCAGUUGUUCGAGGCAACGAGGACGUCGCCGGAUUAGACGGGGGAGGAUGUCACGGCCCGCUAGUUUUGGCCCAACCCCUUGCCAAUUUCCCUUGGGUUGGGGAGGUUAAGGAGUCCAAGAUUUAGCCCAAAUAGGGUUAGGCCCAAGUUGGCCCAAAUGUAUAGAGGUAGGUAGGGGUAGGUAGAGAUAUUUUAGGAAUUCUUUGGAGUGUUCUAGAGAACCACUCCCAACCGUUAGAUCAAAUAGAUCUCCACCGUCCAUUGAUGAGGUGGACUAGUAUAAAU
rnacentral:lncRNA from 1 species